rnacentral:lncRNA from 1 species
AUAAAUACAAAUUUUGAGUUAAUUAAUAAGUUUGAAAACAUGUAUUUUUCAUACUUAUCACAACUAAUGAAACAAACUCAGACUUACACAGAGUCCUAUAACCUUACCGGCUAAUGAAAAAACAUUCAUACUUACACAGAGUCCUACAACCUCCCUAACUAAUGGAACAAUUCUAACUCACAAAAGAUUUCUAUAGUCACUUCAACUAAUGAAAUAAACUUAUACUCACAA